rnacentral:rRNA from 1 species
UAAGGAAUAUUGCUCAAUGGGAGAAAUCCUGAAGCAGCAACGCCGCGUGGAGGAUGAAGGGUCUAUGACUUGUAAACUCCUGUAAAGAAGGAAAAAAUUCCCAUUAGAUGGGAGAUGAUGGUACUUCUGGAGUAAGCCCCGGCUAACUACGUGCCAGCAGCCGCGGUAAUACGUAGGGGGCAAGCGUUGUCCGGAUUUACUGGGUGUAAAGGGUGCUCAGGCGGAUUUGUAAGUCAGAGGUGAAAUCUUACAGCUUAACUGUGAAACUGCCUUUGAUACUGCAAGCCUAGAGUAUGGAAGAGAGUGAUGGAAUAUCUGGUGUAGCAGUGAAAUGCGUAGAUAUCAGAUAGAACACCAAUGGCGAGGGCAGUCACUUGGUCCAUUACUGACGCUAAAGCACGAAAGCGUGGGUAGCAAACA